GUUUAAUCUUAAUUUUAAGAAAGACAAACUCACCAACAAUUCUGUAGCACAGAUCUCAUGAACACUACUCCCCUCAACUCUAAGAUCUCACAAUCGCAACUUGCAAUUCUGAUGGGAUUUAGAAGGAAACGGAAAAAAACUGAAAGAAUUCUCUGUCUGGAAUCAUGAUGUUUUUCUCAGUUUUAAGGACAAGAUACGCUCAGGAUGUGAAAACCGGCAAAAUUACAGAAACAAAUGAGCGAAAUGUGGAGAAAGGGGAAAUCCCUUCUUCUCACGAUAUGUCUGCAAGAAGAUAUGGUGGUUUGGGGCAAAAGCAAGGAGCAGGAGCACAAAGAUCCAUCCAUUUUUAUGGAUGAGCAUACAACACCCGAAAACCAAAUAUUGGGUGAAGAGUCGGAGACAAAUUGCAACGACCAGGUUAUUGCUAUCAAAACAUCUGAUGAAAUUUGCGAUGAACAUGAUGAGAUUCAGCCGGCUAAUGUUUGAUAGGCGUGUUCGGGUUCGGCAUGCAUGGGGUUGGGUCGUAUCUUUAUUAUUUGUUUUGUUUCUUUUAGUUAAGUGUGUGACUAAUUAUAUGUUUACCAAGUUAUUGUUAAUCACAGUAGUUUUGUUUGUUAAUUAUGAUUUAACAAUUAUAUGUUUACCAUAUCGAUCUUCCCUUCUUUAAAACCACUUCCAUCACUUAAUUCGAAUCACACUCGCUCAACUUGAAUU
rnacentral:lncRNA from 1 species